rnacentral:rRNA from 1 species
CGAGAGGAACACCAAUGGCGAAGGCAGCUUCUUGGCCCAUAUCUGACGCUCAUACACGAAAGCGUGGGUAGCAAACAGGAUUAGAUACCCUGGUAGUCCACGCCGUAAACGAUGAUCACUAGAUGUUAGUCCCGCUUGCGGGAUUAGUAUCGUAGCUAACGCGUUAAGUGAUCCGCCUGGGGAGUACGGUCGCAAGAUUAAAACUCAAAGAAAUUGACGGGGGUCCGCACAAGCGGUGGAACAUGUGGUUUAAUUCGAUACUACGCGAGGAACCUUACCUGGGUUUGACAUGCUUUUGACAGCUAUAGAGAUAUAGUCUUCCAAGUUUACUUGGACAAUUGCACAGGUGCUGCAUGGUUGUCGUCAGCUCGUGUCGUGAGAUGUCUGGUUAAGUCCUUUAACGAGCGCAACUCUCGUCGUCAGUUGCUAUCCUUCGGGAGCACUCUGGCGAGACUGCCUGGGUAACCAGGAGGAAGGUGGGAAUGACGUCAAAUCAUCAUGGCCCUUAUGCCCAGGGCUACACACGUGUUACAAUGGCCAGUACAAAGGGCUGCCAACUCGUAAGAGUGAGCUAAUCCCAGAAAACUGGUCCAAGUUCGGAUUGAGGUCUGCAAUUCGACCUCAUGAAGUUGAAAUCGCUAGUAAUCGCGUAUCAGAACGACGCGGUGAAUACGUUCUCGGACCUUGUACACACCGCCCGUCACACCACGAGAGCUGUCUGUACCCGAAGUUAUCUUAGCUAACCUUUAUUGGAGGCGGAUACCUAAGGUAUGGGGGGUGAUUGGGGUGAAGUCGUAACAAGGUAGCUGUAGGAGAACCUGCGGCUGGAUCACCUCCUUUCGAGGGA